CGUGCGCNUNCCAAGCUAUGAUGGAGACGCGGCGUACAGCUCAGUAACACGUGGCUAACCCACCCUUGAGACGGAGACAACCCCGGGAAACUGGGGCUAAUCCNUGAUAGGAGAAGAUACUUGGAAGGGGUCUUCUCCCAAAAGGCGCUUAGAUCAUGCUUCUAGACGUCGCUCAAGGACGGGGCCGCGGCCGAUCAGGUUGUUGGUGAGGCAAUGGCUCACCAAGCCUAUAACCGGUACGGGCCGUGAGAGCGGGAGCCCGGAGAUGGGCACUGAGACAAGGGCCCAGGCCCUACGGGGCGCAGCAGUUGCGAAAACUCCGCAAUGCACGAAAGUGUGACGGGGCUACCCCGAGUGCCGUCCGCUGAGGGCGGCUUUUCCCCGGUGUAAGGAGCCGGGGGAAUAAGGAGAGGGCAAGUCUGGUGUCAGCCGCCGCGGUAAUACCAGCUCUCCGAGUGGUAGGGAUGAUUAUUGGGCUUAAAGCGUCCGUAGCUGGCCUAGCAAGUCUUCCGUUAAAUCCACCGAUUCAAUCGUUGGACUGCGGGAGAUACUGUUGGGCUAGGGGGCGGGAGAGGCCGACGGUAUUCUCGGGGUAGGGGUAAAAUCCUAUAAUCCCGGGAGGACCACCAGUGGCGAAGGCGGUCGGCUAGAACGCGCUCGACGGUGAGGGACGAAAGCUGGGGGAGCGAACCGGAUUAGAUACCCGGGUAGUCCCAGCUGUAAACGAUGCGGGCUAGGUGUUGGGGCGGCUACGGGCCGCUUCAGUGCCGCAGGGAAACCAUUAAGUCCGCCGCCUGGGGAGUACGGUCGCAAGGCUGAAACUUAA
rnacentral:rRNA from 1 species